rnacentral:rRNA from 1 species
CCUACGGGAGGCAGCAGUGAGGAAUAUUGGUCAAUGGGCGCGAGCCUGAACCAGCCACGUAGCGUGAAGGAUGACUGCCCUACGGGUUGUAAACCUCUUUUAUAAAGGAAUAAAGUGAGGAACGUGUGCCUUUACGUAUGUACUGUAUCAAUCCGGAACGGCUAACCACGUGCCAGCAGCGGCGGUAAUACGGAGGGUGCGAGCGUUAUCCGGAUUUAUUGGGUUUAAAGGGAGCGUAGAUGGGUUGUUAAGUCAGUUGUGAAAGUUUGCGGCUCAACCGUAGAAGUGCAAUUGAUACUGGCAGACUUGAGUGCAGUAGAGGUAGGCGGAACUCGUGGUGUAGCGGUGAAAUGCUUAGAUAUCAGGAAGAACUCCGAUUGCGAAAGCAGCCUACUAAUCUGCCACUGACGUUGAUGCUCGAAAGUGUGGGUAGCAAACAGGAUUAGAUACCCGUGUAGUC